UACAGAGGUCCCAAGCGUUGUUCGGAUUCAUUGGGCGUAAAGGGUGCGUAGGCGGCGGAGUAAGUUGGGUGUGAAAUCCCGAGGCUCAACCUCGGAAUUGCAUUCAAUACUGCUUCGCUCGAGUACUGGAGAGGAGGCUGGAAUUUACGGUGUAGCAGUGAAAUGCGUAGAUAUCGUAAGGAAGGCCGGUGGCGAAAGCGAGCCUCUGGACAGUUACUGACGCUGAUGCACGAAGGCCAGGGGAGCAAACGGG
rnacentral:rRNA from 1 species